GACGAACGCUGGCGGCGUGCUUAACACAUGCAAGUCGAACGGAAAGGCCCUGCUUUUGUGGGGUGCUCGAGUGGCGAACGGGUGAGUAACACGUGAGUAACCUGCCCUUGACUUUGGGAUAACUUCAGGAAACUGGGGCUAAUACCGGAUAGGAGCUCCUGCUGCAUGGUGGGGGUUGGAAAGUUUCGGCGGUUGGGGAUGGACUCGCGGCUUAUCAGCUUGUUGGUGGGGUAGUGGCUUACCAAGGCUUUGACGGGUAGCCGGCCUGAGAGGGUGACCGGCCACAUUGGGACUGAGAUACGGCCCAGACUCCUACGGGAGGCAGCAGUGGGGAAUAUUGCACAAUGGGCGGAAGCCUGAUGCAGCAACGCCGCGUGCGGGAUGACGGCCUUCGGGUUGUAAACCGCUUUCGCCUGUGACGAAGCGUGAGUGACGGUAAUGGGUAAAGAAGCACCGGCUAACUACGUGCCAGCAGCCGCGGUGAUACGUAGGGUGCGAGCGUUGUCCGGAUUUAUUGGGCGUAAAGGGCUCGUAGGUGGUUGAUCGCGUCGGAAGUGUAAUCUUGGGGCUUAACCCUGAGCGUGCUUUCGAUACGGGUUGACUUGAGGAAGGUAGGGGAGAAUGGAAUUCCUGGUGGAGCGGUGGAAUGCGCAGAUAUCAGGAGGAACACCAGUGGCGAAGGCGGUUCUCUGGGCCUUUCCUGACGCUGAGGAGCGAAAGCGUGGGGAGCGAACAGGCUUAGAUACCCUGGUAGUCCACGCUGUAAACGGUGGGUACUAGGUGUGGGGUCCAUUCCACGGGUUCCGUGCCGUAGCUAACGCUUUAAGUACCCCGCCUGGGGAGUACGGCCGCAAGGCUAAAACUCAAAGGAAUUGACAGGGCCCCGCACAAGCGGCGGAGCAUGCGGAUUAAUUCGAUGCAACGCGUAGAACCUUACCUGGGUUUGACAUGGAUCGGGAGUGCUCAGAGAUGGGUGUGCCUCUUUUGGGGUCGGUUCACAGGUGGUGCAUGGCUGUCGUCAGCUCGUGUCGUGAGAUGUUGGGUUAAGUCCCGCAACGAGCGCAACCCUUGUUCACUGUUGCCGGCACGUUAUGGUGGGGACUCAGUGGAGACCGCCGGGGUCAACUCGGAGGAAGGUGGGGAUGACGUCAAGUCAUCAUGCCCCUUAUGUCCAGGGCUUCACGCAUGCUACAAUGGCUGGUACAGAGAGUGGCGAGCCUGUGAGGGUGAGCGAAUCUCGGAAAGCCGGUCUCAGUUCGGAUUGGGGUCUGCAACUCGACCUCAUGAAGUCGGAGUCGCUAGUAAUCGCAGAUCAGCAACGCUGCGGUGAAUACGUUCCCGGG
rnacentral:rRNA from 1 species